AGAGUUUGAUCCUGGCUCAGAACGAACGUUGGCGGUGUGCCUAAUACAUGCAAGUCGAGCGAGAAAGCCGGGGCAACUCGGCGAGUACAGCGGCGGAAGGGUGCGUAAUACAUGGUUAACGUACCCCCCAGAUCGGGAUAACCCUCCGAAAGGUGGGCUAAUACCGGGUAAUGGCAGCGGGUGGCAUCAUUUGCUGCUUAAAGACGCAAGUCACUGGGGGAGCGGACCAUGGCCUAUCAGCUAGUUGGCGGGGUAACGGCCCACCAAGGCGAUGACGGGUAGCCGGACUGAGAGGUUGAACGGCCACACGGGAACUGAGACACGGUCCCGACAUCUACGGAUGGCAGCAGUAGGGAAUCCUGCACAAUGGGCGAAAGCCUGAUGCAGCGACACCGCGUGGGGGAUGAAGGCCUUCGGGUUGUAAACCCCUUUCAUGAGGGAAGAAUACUGACCUAACCUCAGGAAGAAGCACCGGCUAACUCCGUGCCAGCAGCUGCGGUAAUACGGAGAGUGCAAACGUUGUUCGGAUUCACUGGGCGUAAAGGGCACGUAGGCGGCUCGGCAAAUCGGUCGUGGAAUCUCGACGCUUACCGUCGAAACGGCGGCCGAAAAUACCGGGCUCGAGGGCGUGAGGGGUCACUGGAACUCCUGGUGAAGCGGUGAAAUGCGUAGAUAUCAGGAGGAACGCCGGAGGCGAAAGCGAGUGACUGGCGCGUUCCUGACGCUGACGUGCGAAAGCUAGGGGAGCAAACAGGAUUAGAUACCCUGGUAGUCC
rnacentral:rRNA from 1 species